GAUGAACGCUAGCGGCAGGCCUAAUACAUGCAAGUCGAACGAUAGUAUUAAGCUUGCUUAAUAUGAAAGUGGCGCACGGGUGCGUAACGCGUAUGAAACCUACCUUAAUCAGGGGGAUAGCCUUUCGAAAGAAAGAUUAAUACCGCAUAAUAUCACGAUGGGGCAUCCUGUUGUGAUCAAAUAUUUAUAGGAUUAAGAUGGUCAUGCGUGACAUUAGCUAGUUGGAGAGGUAAUGGCUCACCAAGGCGACGAUGUCUAGGGGAUCUGAGAGGAUGGCCCCCCACACUGGUACUGAGACACGGACCAGACUCCUACGGGAGGCAGCAGUAAGGAAUAUUGGUCAAUGGGCGGAAGCCUGAACCAGCCAUGCCGCGUGCAGGAAGACGGCCCUACGGGUUGUAAACUGCUUUUAUUCGGGAAUAAAUCUUUCUACGUGUAGGGAGUUGAAUGUACUGAAAGAAUAAGGAUCGGCUAACUCCGUGCCAGC
rnacentral:rRNA from 1 species